UACGUAGGGGGCAAGCGUUAUCCGGAUUUACUGGGUGUAAAGGGAGCGUAGACGGCUGUACAAGUCUGAAGUGAAAGCCCGUGGCUCAACCGCGGAACUGCUUUGGAAACUGUAAAGCUGGAGUACUGGAGAGGCAGGCGGAAUUUCUAGUGUAGCGGUGAAAUGCGUAGAUAUUAGGAGGAACACCAGUGGCGAAGGCGGCCUGCUGGACAGAAACUGACGUUGAGGCUCGAAAGCGUGGGGAGCAAACAGG
rnacentral:rRNA from 1 species